rnacentral:rRNA from 1 species
AUUGAACGCUGGUGGCAUGCUUUACACAUGCAAGUCGAACGGCAGCGGGGGCUUCGGCCUGCCGGCGAGUGGCGAACGGGUGAGUAAUGCAUCGGAACGUGCCCAUGUCGUGGGGGAUAACGUAGCGAAAGCUACGCUAAUACCGCAUACGUCCUGAGGGAGAAAGCGGGGGAUCUUUGGACCUCGCGCGAUUGGAGCGGCCGAUGUCGGAUUAGCUAGUAGGUGAGGUAAAGGCUCACCUAGGCGACGAUCCGUAGCGGGUCUGAGAGGAUGAUCCGCCACACCGGGACUGAGACACGGCCCAGACUCCUACGGGAGGCAGCAGUGGGGAAUUUUGGACAAUGGGGGCAACCCUGAUCCAGCCAUGCCGCGUGAGUGAAGAAGGCCUUCGGGUUGUAAAGCUCUUUCGGCCGGGAAGAAAUCGUGGUCUCUAACAUAGGCCAUGGAUGACGGUACCGGACUAAGAAGCACCGGCUAACUACGUGCCAGCAGCCGCGGUAAUACGUAGGGUGCGAGCGUUAAUCGGAAUUACUGGGCGUAAAGCGUGCGCAGGCGGUUUUGUAAGACAGAUGUGAAAUCCCCGGGCUUAACCUGGGAACUGCGUUUGUGACUGCAAGGCUAGAGUACGGCAGAG